ensembl:lncRNA
GCACGCUGAGUGUGUGAAUAGGUGCAAGCAAUUUGUGAGCAAAUGAGGAACAAACUCUCACAUUCACUUGUAAAGUAUUCAGGCUCAAUGCUGUGGCCAAACGGAUCUAAAAACAUCGCAGGCUCUAAUAGAUGUAUGUUUCUGUGGUUUGGUUGUGUGAUUCACCGGAAAUGCUAUCUGUGGUAUUCUGAGAAGCAGUUCGGCAAAAUGAUACGUGAGUACAUCAAAGUUCACUUAGACAAGCAUCUUCUUUGGAGUCGGUCUUAUAGGAUUGUUCUUCAUCAUGGCUGGACGCCUGCUGUUUGUCACCCUCAUGUAUUCCUGUGCCAAUACUAAAACACAAGCUCGUCCUCAACUCAUAAUGAAUUCAGCGGUGAUCUCAGAGACGGAAACAGUCACAUUGGACUGUCGAGCUCCAUCAUAUCCUACUGUCCACCAGUGUUAUUUCACCAUUAUCGGAGCAAAACAUGCCAAAGGCUUCACUUGUGUGCAGACACUGACAGGAACUGAACUGUUGAGGAUGUCAGACCAGAGAGCACCUGCUGAGGUUAAAGUGGAUUGUUAUUACACUGUAAUGGUUGGAGACGUGAAUCAUCCAUCUGCACACAGUGUCACAUCAUCCAUCACAAUCCAAAAUGUUGUCAAGUCGAGCACGACGCAGACUAAGACGGCAUCUGCUGUGACCACAGCAGGUCUCAGUGCUUCCAGGCCUGUAACUCGUAUAAAGCAAACACCAGAUCAAACCUUUGGACCAAGAAACUCUGGUAGUUUUAGUUCUCCUCCCCUCACAACAGACAAACCAACAUCAGAUGUUGUCGAGUCGAGCACGACGCAGACUAAGCCGGCAUCUACUGUGACCACAGCAGGUCUCAGUGCUUCCACGCCUGUAACUCGUAUAAAGCAAACAUCAGCAGAUCAAACCUUUGGACCAAGAAACUCUGGUAGUUUUAGUUCUCCUCCCCUCACAACAGACAAACCAACAUCAGAAAUGCAGAGAUGGAUGUUCAUGGUGAUUGCGAUUUGUUUGGGAGGUUUUUUCUCUAUUUCCUUACUGGGACUGGGCCUUCUGUGUAGCAAAAGAACAUUGGGUAAGAACUUGACUUUUGUGUCAGAUAUGAACUGUCAAAGAAUUUGAGCAGAGGGUCAAAGAGACCCUUUUGAACACAACUUGCAUGUAACUCUGUUUAGAGAACAGCAUCGUUUACCACAUUUGCAUUAAUGUGAUUGGAUGUUAGUAGUUCCUCACCUGUAAGUAUUCCAGAGAGAGCUAAUGCCAAAACAAGCACAACUUCCAAGGAAACUGCCUCAUGUAACAAUAUGCUUUUCUCUCUCUUAUAUUUUUCAGAAAUAAGUUCUUACAGGAGGUCACAAGCUGAUGUCACUGGUAAUAUGCACACGUAGUCAGACAUCAUCACUAUUAUUUAUAUGCAUAUUUAUAUUUUGGUCUUUCAGGGUAUUCGGGUGUGUUUUACUUGAUGUUGCAGUUGUCAUAAUAUUACAUUACAUGUCAUUUAGCUGACUCUUUUAUCCAAAGCGACUUACAUUGCAUUUUUAACCCAUGUUCUUCUAUAUUUUUAACCCAUCCCGGACAUUGGGAGUAGUGUGCAGCCGUAAAGGCGCCCGGGUGUCUUGCUUAGGAACACUUCUACAUUGGGACAUGGAGCAGCCAGGGUUCGAACCGCCUUGCGGUUCCCGGCACACCCUGUCUACUUCAUGCGCCACCGUCGCUAAUAUGAGAUAUCUUGAACAUGGAGAAUUGGUAAUAAAUAUAUAAUUUGUCAAGAUGGAUUACUUUUUUCAUUUAUUUAUGAAAUCCUCUCAAUUCCUCUUGCCUCCUAUUGAUUGGAGCUUUUAUUUCCAAAAUACCUUCCUGGCUUGUUUCAAAUUAUAUUAAAUUUAGGGGCGCACAACAGAUUCUUAUAAAGAUCAGGUGGAGCGUAUUGUUGGCUUUUUACAAAAAACCAACUUGACAAAAAGCAUCAUCUUUGUGUGCCGUUGUGUCACAUUUGCAGGUUCUGUGAAACUGGAGGAGCAAACACUUACACAUGAGAACCACGCCAUGUUCCAAAUAUACGCCAAUAUCCCCAACGAGCCACCUGCAUCAGCCAAACAGGACGCAGUGUAAAGCAACCUGAAGCCACAUUGAAACACAAGCAUUUUAUACUGUGUAGAGGAACGGUUGGGCGGACAGUCAAAACAUUUUUUUUUAAAUCAGUUUCUUUUACAUUUUUUAAACAUAAUAUUGUUUGUGAAAUUGCAAUGCAAAUUGUAACUGUAACAAACGACAGGUCUCAGCUGGCUUUAAGAUAAUGUUAGCACACUUCAUAUUUUGUUUUACAGGGAGAAAAGAUUUUAGAAUUUUGACAUAGAAAUACAAACAACUGAUGUUUCUUAUGUUUUGCAGUUAAGCUGCAAAAGUUGCAAUCGUCACCAUUAUUAUUUUGUGAAGUUGGAGGCUGUUGAUUAGCACCACAUUGUAGACAACUUCUUUCUCUUCAAAGUCAAAAUAGUAUAAGCUUGCUUCUUUAGUACUUGUAACACAAUGCCUGCUCAAUUAAACAAAUACAAAAAUAAGAUGACCGUG